UACGUAGGGUGCUAGCGUUGUCCGGAAUCAUUGGGCGUAAAGAGCGUGUAGGCGGCUCGUCAAGUCCGCUGUAAAAGUCAAAGGCUCAACCUUUGAAUGUCAGUGGAUACUGCCGGGCUAGAGUCCGGAAGAGGCGAGUGGAACUCCUGGUGUAGCGGUGGAAUGCGCAGAUAUCAGGAAGAACACCAACGGCGAAGGCAGCUCGCUGGGACGGUACUGACGCUGAGACGCGAAAGCGUGGGGAGCGAACAGG
rnacentral:rRNA from 1 species